UGGGUAACCUGCCCAAGAGAUCGGGAUAACACCUGGAAACAGAUGCUAAUACCGGAUAACAACAGAUGAUGCCUAUCAACUGUUUAAAAGAUGGUUCUGCUAUCACUCUUGGAUGGACCUGCGGUGCAUUAGCUAGUUGGUAGGGUAACGGCCUACCAAGGCGAUGAUGCAUAGCCGAGUUGAGAGACUGAUCGGCCACAUUGGGACUGAGACACGGCCCAAACUCCUACGGGAGGCAGCAGGU
rnacentral:rRNA from 1 species